rnacentral:rRNA from 1 species
CAGCAGCCGCGGGAAUACAGAGGGUGCGAGCGUUAAUCGGAUUUACUGGGCGUAAAGCGUGCGUAGGCGGCUUCUUAAGUCGGAUGUGAAAUCCCUGAGCUUAACUUAGGAAUUGCAUUCGAUACUGGGAAGCUAGAGUAUGGGAGAGGAUGGUAGAAUUCCAGGUGUAGCGGUGAAAUGCGUAGAGAUCUGGAGGAAUACCGAUGGCGAAGGCAGCCAUCUGGCCUAAUACUGACGCUGAAAUACGAAAGCAUGGGGAGCAAACAGGAUUAGAUACCCCGGUAGUCCCUGUCUCUUAUAC